rnacentral:misc_RNA from 1 species
GGAAGUAAAAGUCGUAACAAGGUUUCCGUAGGUAAGUUAUCACAAAAUAUCCUCCUUCAAGGAAAACCAUCGCUAACAUCGCUUCCAGGUGAACCUGCGGAAGGAUCAUUACAGUGUUAGGCUUCGGCCUCAUUCACACCCCUUGUUGAACCUCUGGUUUCUUUGGCGAUGUCAUGGACUCGUCAAACUUUAACUCUGGUAAUGCGAUAUUGUCCGAGUGCCAUUGAAUUAUAAAAACUUUCAACAACGGAUCUCUUGGUUCCAGCAUCGAUGAAGAACGCAGCGAAAUGCGAUAAAUAAUGUGAAUUGCAGAAUUCCGUGAAUCAUCGAGUUUUUGAACGCACAUUGCACUCCUUGGUAUUCCGAGGAGUACGCCUGUUCGAGCGUCAUUACACUAUCAAGCUUCGCUUGGAUUUGAAUCACUGUCGUGGCAGGAUUCCAAUAUUGUCGGCAAUUGACCAUCUGUGAUGACUCACUCUGAGUUAAUUCGCCGGAAAACUUUCUUUCAAGUUGACCUCGGAUCAGGCGGGGAUACCCGCUGAACUUAAGCAUAUCAAUAAGCGGAGGAAAAGAAACCAACAGGGAUUGCCUCAGUAACGGCGAGUGAAGCGGCAACAGCUCAGAUUUGAAAGCCGAGUCUUUGACUUUGCAUUGUAAUCUGAAGAGGAAAUCUCGCGAACGAUUAGUCUCAAGUCUCCUGGAACGGAGCGUCAUGGAGGGUGAGAAUCCCGUGGAGAUGAAAUCCGACGCAUGUGAGAUUCCUUCGACGAGUCGAGUUGUUUGGGAAUGCAGCUCUAAUUGGGAGGUAAAUUCCUUCUAAAGCUAAAUAUCGGCUGGAGACCGAUAGCGCACAAGUAGAGUGAUCGAAAGAUGAAAAGCACUUUGAAAAGAGAGUCAAACAGCACGUGAAAUUGUUGAAAGGGAAGCGCUGUCCAUCAGACUUGUUGAUCAGGAUCACCUAACGUUCUCGUUGGGGCACUCUUGGUUGGACAGGCCCGCAUCGGUUUGAGCGGUCGGAGAAAGGCCAUGGGAAUGUAGCUCUUCGUGAGUGUUAUAGCCCGUGGUGUAAUACGGCCAGCUUAGACCGAGGUCUGCGCUUCGGCUCGGAUGCGGGCGUAAUGGUGGUCAGCGGCCCGUCUUGAAACACGGACCAAGGAGUCUAACAUCUACGCGAGUGUUUGGGCGUCAAACCCCUACGCGAAAUGAAAGUGAACGGAGGCGAGAGCUUCGGCGCACCGCCGACCGAUCCGGAUGUAUUCGGAUGGAUUUGAGUAUGAGCGUAGCUGUUGGGACCCGAAAGAUGGUGAACUAUGCCUGAAUAGGGUGAAGCCAGAGGAAACUCUGGUGGAGGCUCGCAGCGGUUCUGACGUGCAAAUCGAUCGUCAAAUUUGGGUAUAGGGGCGAAAGACUAAUCGAACCAUCACCGAUGUGCAAUAGGUUUGCUACUGGGUGGUUAAGAGAGAUGCUCUAGUCCUGGCUUCAGGGCGACGUCGUCAAAUUGCGGGAACACUCUGAAGCUUCAAUCACCGCGGCCGACCGAAAGGAAGGUGCAGCACCAGUCGUAAUGGACUGGGGAUGGUAACAGUAUUGAAGAUUGAGCAAUCCGCAGCCAACCCCUUCAAUGGGUGCAGUUCACUGACUAAAUGUCGGCGGGUCUUGCGAGACUUAAGAUAUAGUCGAA